AUCACGUUUGUUGAGACUUAUCGAUAAGGGUGAUAGUAGAACCGAUUACGUGAUGAUGGACCGUAGGAAGUUUUAUAAAAAAGUAAUAUCCGAAUUCUCUCAGGUACGGGCUAAACGUAGAUUAUCCUUCGAAGACGAAAUAGCAUCAAACCCUACAUAGGAACAACAAUCUUCGGAAUUAACUUGGAUAAUAAUCAACCCUUGACAAGCAUUGAAAAUAUGGGUGAUCAUGUUUCAUCUUCUAGAAUAUUUUUUAAAAAUCAUCAGUCAAUAAGUAAAUCAGAAAUACACAAAAACACCGAUGUCCCACAAAUAGAAUGUUUGCAAAACAAUAAUACCGAUGGCCAUAAUACUGAGACUCCACCAACCUU
rnacentral:lncRNA from 1 species